GAGCACGAGGCCGAAGGGAACACAGGUGUCAGUUUGCAAAACUGAAAAUGAAGGUUCGAGUCCUGCCGUGCUCUCCA
rnacentral:tRNA from 1 species